rnacentral:lncRNA from 1 species
UCUUAUGCAAAGAGAGGGCCGGGGUCAGGGUCUGUUGUUUGUUCUGGAAAAGCUUGUAGGAUUUUCACCAGACCUUGUGACCUUUGGGGACAUUUUUUUUGUGUGUGAUCAGAGACAGAAUGGGAUAUAAACACUAGAAGUGACAUUUUCUAAACGUGAGGCACUUCUCUGGGCUGGCAGUGCCAGGAGCGUGGAGGGCUCAGAUCUCUGCUGGCAAAGGUGUGAGUGCUCUCCCUUCUCCCUCUCCCUCCCACUCCAGCCUCCACCCCAGAGCAGAGAAACGUUUGCCCAAAUGUGACUUAUACCUUCGUUCUGAGAGUAGGCACAGGUGGGCCUCUUCCAUUGGCUGCCCUUGUGGGCUGUGAGCAGAGAGGGCCCUCAUGUUUACUAAGUGCCCUUGUGGGCUUGGGGCCACCCCACCGCCAGAUGGAGGGGACAGAGGUGACAGGCGACAGGGCUGGGCUCCCUGUCCAGCUCCCCAGUGGCAGAGGUCCUCGGACAGUGGGAAUCAGAAGGGCGUCUUUGC